GUAAAGAAACAGGCCGUAGCUUUGCCUUAUAAGAAAUUUGGCUUAAGGAUCUAUGAGUCGGGCAUAAAUUGUGUAGUGGAAAUUCCUGAACUUAAAAUGAAUGUGACCUUCAAUGGCUUGUCAUUUUCUGUCAGAAUGCCCUACGGCUUGCUUGGAAACAACCCUCAAGGACAGUGUGGUAAGGCUUAUUCUUAUGUAUUUUUGUGCUUUCAGAAAACUCUGAACAUUAAACUGUGAAACCAUGGCAGAUCAUUGGCAAGUUGUCGAUCCCUCCAAACCACAGUGUUCUCCAGGCCUAGUUCCUACAAAAGCACCUAGCGUAACAACAGGGCAGCCUUGCAAAGCAUCUUCCCUUUGUGAAUUUCUUUGGGGAAGGUAGGCGUGCAUUCCUCUGGUGUUUAUAAGCAGUAUUGGCAGAUGAGAGGAGAAUAUUUUAAAAUUCACUGGAAGGUUACAAUCUAGUCAAAUGCUCUUUGUGGAAGUCUGUCAGUAAUAAUCCUUUUUCACAUCUCCUAAAGUGUCACUUUUGUCACAAUAUAAUAUGCUUAGCACAUUGGAGAAAUUACAUGUAUUUCACUAACUAAUAAUGAUGUAUGUUUCUGUUUUUAGUGUGUUUGAGAAGUGUCACGAUGUUGUUAAGCCUGGUUAGUGCUAUACAGCUUGUGUUUUUGAUAGCUGUGUACUUCCGGACUUAGACCUGGAAUGCUGAAGUCUGCAGAUCUAUGCAGCUGUCUGUGCCGAUCAAAAUGUCUCCGCUGAUCAAAAUGUCUGCCUUGACUGGAGAAGUCAUACCAGUGGUGUUUGCUCCUAGUUCCUGAGACUUCAUUGAUAAGUGUCACGAUCGCUCCUGCACUAGUGAAGUUAACACCAGCACUCAACUGAAUGUCAUCUCCUGUCAACAUAUUCCAUGCAAUCAGAUUUUGAACCAGUAAGUGACUAAUGGUAAACUAAUAAAACUAGCAGUCAAACAUAAUACCCGUGUCCAUAAAAGAUGCUACGGUCAGUGAGUUGCAUAUGUUAUGUAUUGGGGGCAGAAAGCGAGAAUCCAGCUACAGCGUGGACACCAACUGUCCUCGAGUGAUCUAUUUUGUGUAGUUUGAUAGUAUAACCAACAGUUCAGCUCAGGAGGUGUAGUUAAGAAAUGUCUGUUGUAAUGCAUGUAAUGUCUGUUUUUUGGCGUGCUUACCAAGUGUUUAGUUUUUUCCAUUUGUAGCCUGUUUUGGUUUUUUUUUUCCUUCUUUUUUUUUGAGUAGUCUAACCCAGGAAAGCAUCAUUCCAGAGUAUGCUUCGAGGCAUAAUCUGUUAACAGGAACGGCAACACGUAGAAGUUGAAUGUUGUGGUAAAUGCACGCAGACUAAGUGUAUUAUACAUACAUCCCACGGUUCCAGUCUCAUAUUGAAUCCUGGAGAGUUCAUAAGCGAUCCUUACAACAACUGCACCAUUUAUGGCUGUACGCAUCCCGAGUACCAGCUUAUCUCUUCCACAUCUGAAAUUAUGUGUCCUGCAUUCAAAGAGGAGAACUGCAAAUCUGCAUACCUCUGGAUAGCACCAUGCCAUGCUCUGUCCGUGAGAGAAGAGACUUCAUUGUCUAUAAGAAUUGGUGUUCUCUGGAGAGAGUCGUCCUGACCAAAUGCGAAGGAACGUGUGGAACUUUCUCACUGUUGGAAAGAGUGAUAAAGCACCAUAUGAUAACUGUACUCAGUACACACACACUGAAUCAGAGGGACAGUUCUCCUGGACUAGUGCAGUUAAGGUCUGCCUGCCAUUCGAGGAAUCAAAUUGUGUCCCAAUUCCUGAAGGUGGCUUGAAGAACUGUGUAUCCCAAAUAUCUCCUCUUAGAAGCCAGUUACUCUGAUACCUACAGGAUAUCUUUAGACUUCAGGUUGUAAAGUGCAAAUUGGAAUGAGAAUCAGGAGAUCUGGCAGGUGACUACACCUAAGUUGGGUAACGAACUAAUGCCUGGAAAUAAAGCGCUGGAAAUCACUGCCAACGAUAACCAGAGUUUCUCACCAUGUCGUCGAACGUGUGAGAAAUAGCACAGGUUGGCAAAGAGAUAAGGGGAUAUUGCAUCCGGGCUGGACGUCUGUGGUCUGCUCACUGCCACCCAGAAGCACACUGCUGUGCUGCGCAGCAGUUGUACAGCACUCCGGUGACUUUCAUGUGAAGAGCAAACUAAAUAUUUAAUGUGUUAAUUAUGUUGCCUACUGAAUUUACAGAUAUUUGUAUUGUGAAAUAAUAUUGUGUAUAUAUAUAUAUACAUACAUAUAUAUAUAUAUGGUCAGGUUUUAAUUCUAACUGUAAUAUAUGGUGCUUUUGUAUUGUACCGACAAAUUCAAGUACUGAUAUGUAAAGAGCAAGAUGCCUUGUCAAUGUUGCCCCAUGUUGCCUUCCUUGCAAUUGGAUCCUUUGCACUGAAUUGUCAUCAUUUCUUUGUGUGUGGGGUGUUUUUUGUGUUUUGUUUUGUGUUGGUUUUUCAUGAUUCUGUUCUUUUUUAAUGUAGUUUUGUGUGUGUGUAUGUUGUAUAUUUACUAAAUUAAAGGUUGUUUUUGUGUAAACAUUUAAACUUUUCAAAGGAAUAAAAUAAAAGCUAAUUUUGUUUCUCAAC